CUACCCUUGACAUGGUCGGAACCCUGCUGAAAGGUGGGGGUGCUCGAAAGAGAACCGAUACACAGGUGCUGCAUGGCUGUCGUCAGCUCGUGUCGUGAGAUGUUGGGUUAAGUCCCGCAACGAGCGCAACCCUUGUCCCUAGUUGCUACGCAAGAGCACUCUAGGGAGACUGCCGGUGACAAACCGGAGGAAGGUGGGGAUGACGUCAAGUCCUCAUGGCCCUUAUGGGUAGGGCUUCACACGUCAUACAAUGGUCGGAACAGAGGGUCGCCAACCCGCGAGGGGGAGCCAAUCCCAGAAAACCGAUCGUAGUCCGGAUCGCACUCUGCAACUCGAGUGCGUGAAGCUGGAAUCGCUAGUAAUCGCGGAUCAGCAUGCCGCGGUGAAUACGUUCCC
rnacentral:rRNA from 1 species